AUGACAACAGAACCCACAACAACCAUGACAUUUUUUACCAUCCUCAUUUGCACACUUGCAUUCAACAUCAAGGAAUCUAGAGGUCAGUACACUGUGACUCAGACUCCUGCUGUGAAAGCUGUUCUCCCAGGACAGUCAGUCUCUCUGAACUGUAAAACCAGCAGUAAUGUGCAUGGCGCAGGAGGCACUUAUCCCCACCUAGCCUGGUAUCAACAGAAACCUGGAGGAGCUCCUAAACUCCUCAUUUACUAUACAAGCACCGUUCAAUCUGGGACUCCAUCUAGAUUCAGUGGCAGUGGAUCUGGGAGUGACUUCACUCUGACCAUCAGUGGAGUCCAGGCUGAAGAUGCAGGAGAUUACUACUGUCAGAGUUUACACCUCCCCAAUAGUAAACAUGUGUUCACACAGUGAUACAGAGCCGUACAAAAACCUCUCAGUCAGACUGCACACUGACUGUACUGAUACAGAUGGGACCUACUGCAGGUGCUGA